AGCAAAGAAGAGGGAGGCUCUAGCCAAGAGGAGGCAAAGGAGACUGCUAUUUGGUGGAUUUGAAGCUUGACCCUUCAAUCUAAAGGAGGAUUAGAGCUCGGAGGAUCGAGCACGAGGGAUUUCCAGGGAUCGUGAGAUACCGAGACACGCGAGGUACCAGCGAUGACCGUGGGAAGGCGCCGGCUUGAUCUGUACACACGUAGGGGAAUUCGAUAUAUUUAUGUGAUCUUGGGAUUUGUAUGAUACAUAUUGGAAUUUGAAACUUAAUGUUUUAUGAAAUUAAACGAGAAAUG